rnacentral:rRNA from 1 species
AGCAGCCGCGGUAAUUCCAGCUCCAAUAGCGUAUAUUAAAGUUGUUGCAGUUAAAAAGCUCGUAGUUGAAUUUCGGGGUUAGUAGGUUGGUCAUGCCUCUGGUAUGUACUGGUCUCACUGAUUCCUCCUUCCUGAUGAACCUUAAUGCCAUUAAUUUGGUGUUUUGGGGAAUUUGGACUGUUACUUUGAAAAAUUGAGUGUUUAAAGCAAGCUAACGCUUGAAUACAUUAGCAUGGAAUAAUGAAAUAGGACGUUCGAUCCUAUUUUGUUGGUUUCUAGGAUUGACGUAAUGAUUAAUAGGGAUAGUUGGGGGCAUUAGUAUUCAAUUGUCAGAGGUGAAAUUCUUGGAUUUAUUGAAGACUAACUACUGCGAAAGCAUUUGCCAAGGAUGUUUUCAUUAAUCAAGAACGAAAGUUAGGGGAUCGAAGACGAUCAGAUACCGUCGUAGUCUUAACCAUAAACUAUGCCGAC